ACCAAUGUUGCCAGAACUAUUUCAAAAACCACAACCAAAUCACCCUAAUUGUUAGAGCGCGCACGUCACAAACAGCAAUGAGCGUUUUCACGCCAUUAGUGACGUUGUAAUGACAUUAGAUGUGUUGCGGUAGAUCAGGUUUUUAAUCAAAACAUUGAACCUUUUGCAUCGAUAUUUUCGGAAUUUCCUAUUUUGUGUGCCUUUAACGUGUUUAAGAUCUGUAUAAAGACAAUUUAUUGGUGUGGUAUGUGGUAUGAAACAUCUCACAUAGUUUAUAUCAGAUCUUUACCAUAGCUUCUCGGAAAUAUAUCGAUUUUACUUUGUCAUUUUUCUGUUAUACUUACAGCAUCAAGAAUAUUUGGUGGUUCCCAAUUGAAGAAUUAUAUUUUCGGGCAAAAAAGGCUGUCGAGCACGUCGGUGAUUAAUCAGAAAUAAAACACUUCGUAUGGGCUUAA